GACGAACGCUGGCGGCGUGCUUAACACAUGCAAGUCGAACGGAAAGGCCCUGCCUUUGUGGGGUGCUCGAGUGGCGAACGGGUGAGUAACACGUGAGUAACCUGCCCUUGACUUUGGGAUAACUUCAGGAAACUGGGGCUAAUACCGGAUCGGAGCUCCUGCUGCAUGGUGGGGGUUGGAAAGUUUCGGCGGUUGGGGAUGGACUCGCGGCUUAUCAGCUUGUUGGUGGGGUAGUGGCUUACCAAGGCUUUGACGGGUAGCCGGCCUGAGAGGGUGACCGGCCACAUUGGGACUGAGAUACGGCCCAGACUCCUACGGGAGGCAGCAGUGGGGAAUAUUGCACAAUGGGCGGAAGCCUGAUGCAGCAACGCCGCGUGCGUGAUGACGGCCUUCGGGUUGUAAACCGCUUUCGCCUGUGACGAAGCGUGAGUGACGGUAAUGGGUAAAGAAGCACCGGCUAACUACGUG
rnacentral:rRNA from 1 species